rnacentral:rRNA from 1 species
GCAGCGCAGUGUAGCAAUACAUGGGCGGCGACCGGCAAACGGGUGCGGAACACGUACAGAACCUUCCUUCGAGCGGGGCAUAGCCCGGCGAAAGCCGGAUUAAUACCCCAUAGUAUGCAGAAGAGGCAUCUCUUUUGUCUUAAAGAUUUAUCACUUGAAGAUGGCUGUGCGGCUGAUUAGGUAGUUGGCGGGGUAACGGCCCACCAAGCCUACGAUCAGUAACUGGUGUGAGAGCACGACCAGUCACACGGGCACUGAGACACGGGCCCGACUCCUACGGGAGGCAGCAGUAAGGAAUAUUGGUCAAUGGACGCAAGUCUGAACCAGCCAUGCCGCGUGGAGGAUGAAGGCCCUCUGGGUUGUAAACUUCUUUUAUUUGGGACGAAAAAGGGACUUUCUAGUUCAACUGACGGUACCAGAUGAAUAAGCACCGGCUAACUCCGUGCCAGCAGCCGCGGUAAUACGGAGGGUGCAAGCGUUAUCCGGAUUCACUGGGUUUAAAGGGUGCGUAGGUGGGUUGGUAAGUCAGUGGUGAAAUCCCCGAGCUUAACUUGGGAACUGCCAUUGAUACUAUCAGUCUUGAAUACCGUGGAGGUCAGCGGAAUAUGUCAUGUAGCGGUGAAAUGCUUAGAUAUGACAUAGAACACCAAUUGCGAAGGCAGCUGGCUACACGAAUAUUGACACUGAGGCACGAAAGCGUGGGGAUCAAACAGGAUUAGAUACCCUGGUAGUCCACGCCCUAAACUAUGGAUACUCGACAUACGCGAUACACUGUGUGUGUCUGAGCGAAAGCAUUAAGUAUCCCACCUGG